AAUCAACGCUGGCGGCGUGCCUCAGACAUGCAAGUCGAACGCGAAAUUUCCCUUCGGGGAGAAAGUAGAGUGGCGCACGGGUGAGUAACACGUAGGUAAUUUGCCUUUGGGUGGGGAAGUAACUCAGGGAAACUUGAGCUAAUACCGCAUAAUGCAGCGGCUCGACAUCGAGACAGUUGUUAAAGCGGGGAGUUGGAGCAAUCCGACCUCGCGCCUAAAGAGAAGCCUGCGGCAGAUUAGCUAGUUGGUAAGGUAAUGGCUUACCAAGGCGACGAUCUGUAACCGGCCUGAGAGGGCGGUCGGUCACACUGACACUGACAUACGGGUCAGACUCCUACGGGAGGCAGCAGUCGGGAAUUUU
rnacentral:rRNA from 1 species